rnacentral:rRNA from 1 species
UACAGGGGGUGCAAACGUUGCUCGGAAUCAUUGGGCGUAAAGCGCACGUAGGCGGUUCGUUAUGUCGGAUAUGAAAGCCCUUGGCUUAACCGAGGAAGUGCAUCCGAAACUGGCGAGCUAGAGUACGAAAGAGGAUCGCGGAAUUCCCGGUGUAGAGGUGAAAUUCGUAGAGAUCGGGAGGAACACCAGUGGCGAAGGCGACUGUCUGGCUGACAACUGACGCUGAGACUCGAAAGCAUGGGGAGCAAACAGG